CCGGCAGCCUCCUGCCCUCGGGGCACUCGCUCCCCCGAGGUGUACUCCCCGAGGGCUGAGGGAGCGCAUUCCCUCCCGUCCUACUCAUUAACUUUCAGCAAAUGGGGAUACCCAAAGGAGUAGAUAGCGGGUGACCUGUGGCCCUGCUGUUUGAUUCUGGAUGGAGUUACGUUUAGGAGACUGGCAGCAAGCUAGGGCACCUGUUCUGUUAGUGACGAUGCCACACUCUGGAAAUAGAAAUUGUGAGUCCAGUUCCUCAUCCAGGAAAGGGGCAGAGCAUGGAAGAGCCAGGGCUGGGCGCCUACUCCAAGAUCACCGUGGGGAAGGGAUCUGGCCCAUGCCAAGAUUCUGCUGCUCCAUCAGGUUGAUUUCUGUGGGGCACAUCUGUCCCUUACCAAGAAGAUCAGGCCAAGGAACACCAGGAGGAGAAUCACAGCCACCAGGACCACAAUAACUAUGGCCCAUGCAGGGAAUGAAUCAUUCUCCCCCAUCUGUCCAGCGUGGAUACCUUUCUGUGAGUCAUCUUUA